rnacentral:rRNA from 1 species
GGGUUGUGAGGUUAAGCGACUAAGCGUACACGGUGGAUGCCCUGGCAGUCAGAGGCGAUGAAGGACGUGCUAAUCUGCGAUAAGCGUCGGUGAGGUGAUAUGAACCGUUAUAACCGGCGAUUUCCGAAUGGGGAAACCCAGUGUGUUUCGACACACUAUCAUUAACUGAAUCCAUAGGUUAAUGAGGCGAACCGGGGGAACUGAAACAUCUAAGUACCCCGAGGAAAAGAAAUCAACCGAGAUUCCCCCAGUAGCGGCGAGCGAACGGGGAGGAGCCCAGAGCCUGAAUCAGUGUGUGUGUUAGUGGAAGCGUCUGGAAAGGCGCGCGAUACAGGGUGACAGCCCCGUACACAAAAAUGCACAUAUUGUGAGCUCGAUGAGUAGGGCGGGACACGUGGUAUCCUGUCUGAAUAUGGGGGGACCAUCCUCCAAGGCUAAAUACUCCUGACUGACCGAUAGUGAACCAGUACCGUGAGGGAAAGGCGAAAAGAACCCCGGCGAGGGGAGUGAAAAAGAACCUGAAACCGUGUACGUACAAGCAGUGGGAGCCUCUUAAUGGGGUGACUGCGUACCUUUUGUAUAAUGGGUCAGCGACUUAUAUUCUGUAGCAAGGUUAACCGAAUAGGGGAGCCGAAGGGAAACCGAGUCUUAACUGGGCGUUAAGUUGCAGGGUAUAGACCCGAAACCCGGUGAUCUAGCCAUGGGCAGGUUGAAGGUUGGGUAACACUAACUGGAGGACCGAACCGACUAAUGUUGAAAAAUUAGCGGAUGACUUGUGGCUGGGGGUGAAAGGCCAAUCAAACCGGGAGAUAGCUGGUUCUCCCCGAAAGCUAUUUAGGUAGCGCCUCGUGAAUUCAUCUCCGGGGGUAGAGCACUGUUUCGGCAAGGGGGUCAUCCCGACUUACCAACCCGAUGCAAACUGCGAAUACCGGAGAAUGUUAUCACGGGAGACACACGGCGGGUGCUAACGUCCGUCGUGAAGAGGGAAACAACCCAGACCGCCAGCUAAGGUCCCAAAGUCAUGGUUAAGUGGGAAACGAUGUGGGAAGGCCCAGACAGCCAGGAUGUUGGCUUAGAAGCAGCCAUCAUUUAAAGAAAGCGUAAUAGCUCACUGGUCGAGUCGGCCUGCGCGGAAGAUGUAACGGGGCUAAACCAUGCACCGAAGCUGCGGCAGCGACACUAUGUGUUGUUGGGUAGGGGAGCGUUCUGUAAGCCUGUGAAGGUGUACUGUGAGGUAUGCUGGAGGUAUCAGAAGUGCGAAUGCUGACAUAAGUAACGAUAAAGCGGGUGAAAAGCCCGCUCGCCGGAAGACCAAGGGUUCCUGUCCAACGUUAAUCGGGGCAGGGUGAGUCGACCCCUAAGGCGAGGACGAAAGGCGUAGUCGAUGGGAAACAGGUUAAUAUUCCUGUACUUGGUGUUACUGCGAAGGGGGGACGGAGAAGGCUAUGUUGGCCGGGCGACGGUUGUCCCGGUUUAAGCGUGUAGGCUGGUUUUCCAGGCAAAUCCGGAAAAUCAAGGCUGAGGCGUGAUGACGAGGCACUACGGUGCUGAAGCGACAAAUGCCCUGCUUCCAGGAAAAGCCUCUAAGCAUCAGGUAACAUCAAAUCGUACCCCAAACCGACACAGGUGGUCAGGUAGAGAAUACCAAGGCGCUUGAGAGAACUCGGGUGAAGGAACUAGGCAAAAUGGUGCCGUAACUUCGGGAGAAGGCACGCUGAUAUGUAGGUGAAGCGACUUGCUCGUGGAGCUGAAAUCAGUCGAAGAUACCAGCUGGCUGCAACUGUUUAUUAAAAACACAGCACUGUGCAAACACGAAAGUGGACGUAUACGGUGUGACGCCUGCCCGGUGCCGGAAGGUUAAUUGAUGGGGUUAGCGGUAACGCGAAGCUCUUGAUCGAAGCCCCGGUAAACGGCGGCCGUAACUAUAACGGUCCUAAGGUAGCGAAAUUCCUUGUCGGGUAAGUUCCGACCUGCACGAAUGGCGUAAUGAUGGCCAGGCUGUCUCCACCCGAGACUCAGUGAAAUUGAACUCGCUGUGAAGAUGCAGUGUACCCGCGGCAAGACGGAAAGACCCCGUGAACCUUUACUAUAGCUUGACACUGAACAUUGAGCCUUGAUGUGUAGGAUAGGUGGGAGGCUUUGAAGUGUGGACGCCAGUCUGCAUGGAGCCGACCUUGAAAUACCACCCUUUAAUGUUUGAUGUUCUAACGUGGGCCCCUUACCGGGGUUGCGGACAGUGUCUGGUGGGUAGUUUGACUGGGGCGGUCUCCUCCUAAAGAGUAACGGAGGAGCACGAAGGUUGGCUAAUCCUGGUCGGACAUCAGGAGGUUAGUGCAAUGGCAUAAGCCAGCUUGACUGCGAGCGUGACGGCGCGAGCAGGUGCGAAAGCAGGUCAUAGUGAUCCGGUGGUUCUGAAUGGAAGGGCCAUCGCUCAACGGAUAAAAGGUACUCCGGGGAUAACAGGCUGAUACCGCCCAAGAGUUCAUAUCGACGGCGGUGUUUGGCACCUCGAUGUCGGCUCAUCACAUCCUGGGGCUGAAGUAGGUCCCAAGGGUAUGGCUGUUCGCCAUUUAAAGUGGUACGCGAGCUGGGUUUAGAACGUCGUGAGACAGUUCGGUCCCUAUCUGCCGUGGGCGCUGGAGAACUGAGGGGGGCUGCUCCUAGUACGAGAGGACCGGAGUGGACGCAUCACUGGUGUUCGGGUUGUCAUGCCAAUGGCACUGCCCGGUAGCUAAAUGCGGAAGAGAUAAGUGCUGAAAGCAUCUAAGCACGAAACUUGCCCCGAGAUGAGUUCUCCCUGACUCCUUGAGAGUCCUGAAGGAACGUUGAAGACGACGACGUUGAUAGGCCGGGUGUGUAAGCGCAGCGAUGCGUUGAGCUAACCGGUACUAAUGAACCGUGAGGCUUAACCUUACAACGCCGAAG